GGCAGCAUGGUCUUAGCUUGCUAAGGCUGAUGGCGACCGGCGCACGGGUGAGUAACACGUAUCCAACCUGCCGUCUACUCUUGGCCAGCCUUCUGAAAGGAAGAUUAAUCCAGGAUGGCAUCAUGAGUUCACAUGUCCGCAUGAUUAAAGGUAUUUUCCGGUAGACGAUGGGGAUGCGUUCCAUUAGAUAGUAGGCGGGGUAACGGCCCACCUAGUCAACGAUGGAUAGGGGUUCUGAGAGGAAGGUCCCCCACAUUGGAACUGAGACACGGUCCAAACUCCUACGGGAGGCAGCAGUGAGGAAUAUUGGUCAAUGGGCGAUGGCCUGAACCAGCCAAGUAGCGUGAAGGAUGACUGCCCUAUGGGUUGUAAACUUCUUUUAUAAAGGAAUAAAGUCGGGUAUGCAUACCCGUUUGCAUGUACUUUAUGAAUAAGGAUCGGCUAACUCCGUGCCAGCAGCCGCGGUAAUACGGAGGAUCCGAGCGUUAUCCGGAUUUAUUGGGUUUAAAGGGAGCGUAGAUGGAUGUUUAAGUCAGUUGUGAAAGUUUGCGGCUCAACCGUAAAAUUGCAGUUGAUACUGGAUGUCUUGAGUGCAGUUGAGGCAGGCGGAAUUCGUGGUGUAGCGGUGAAAUGCUUAGAUAUCACGAAGAACUCCGAUUGCGAAGGCA
rnacentral:rRNA from 1 species